UUCCAUUAUCUGUUACUCUUCGCUGGAAUUUUUUGAAAUAAUGAAGUUCACUGAUACAACUGAUGGUAUGAGUUACAUUAAAAAAUAAAAAUCAUAAAGGUCUGGGGUCAGCAGACCUUUUCUGUACAAGGCUUGAGAGUAUUUUAUGCCAUUGAACCCAUAAAGUUCUGUGUCAAGAGACAUAAAACAAGGAGUCACUAUUUAUGAACAAGGAAGAGGGCUCUCAGUAAACUCCAAAUUCAAAUUUGCCAGUAUGUUUGGGAUUUUACAAUCUUCAAAACUGUGAGAAAUGAAUUUCUGUUGCUCAUAAGCCAUUCAGCAUUCAGUAUUUUGUUAUGGCAGUCUUAAAAGCAUAAGACAUAAACUAAUGUGCAUGUGUGUGUUCCAAUAAAACUUUAUUUAUGGGCUCAGAAUUCUGAACUUCACUCAUUUUUCACAUGAAAAUAUUUUAAUAUUUCUAACAACUAAAAAUGUUAUGAAGGCAUUUCUCAGUUUUCAGGCUAUACAAAAACAGGUGGCAAGCCAGUUUGGCCUACAGGCCAUAACUAUUCUGAUCCCUGAUACAGAUUACCCUAAUACUAAAAAAUAAAAAUAAAAUACAUCAACAGCAACUCUGAACUUAAGUCACAUUCUAACCUAGAUCUGUCAAUAUGCUAUUAUAUCCUCUGAAAUAGAAGCAAUACUAUACAAAUUACAGGAAAGUUCUAGUCUCAAAAGUCAAUACCAAAAUGCUAAUUAAGUCAGUGCUAUCUAAUAAUAUUUAAACAGGUUUAACUUUCCUCAAGUAUACCGUAAACCUUGGCAGUUCUCAUAUUAAUAGCAGAGGGGGUUGCUUUAUUUUUUUCUGAAACAGGGAGGGGCUCAUUAUGUAUACCAGGUUGGCCUCAAGCUUACAAUCCUGCUAGGCUGGGACUUCAGGCUUGAAACACUGUGCUUUGGCCCAAAAGAGUAUUUUUAGGACUAUCCUUGAAUAUCUAGGUUCGCUCCCCACCCCCUAGGAGUCAAUUAACCACUUGGGCACUGUGCCAAUUAUAAAUUUCUAUAGCACUGUAAAAGCUAUUUCCUGAAGCAUUGUUAAAUGUAUUAGGUAUU